AAAAUCCGUCGACUUUGUAAAUCAUGAGGGUUCAAGUCCAUCCUUAU
rnacentral:tRNA from 1 species